GGGGAAUAUUGCACAAUGGGGGAAACCCUGAUGCAGCAACGCCGCGUGAAGGAUGAAGGUUUUCGGAUUGUAAACUUCUUUAGUCAGGGACGAAAGAAAUGACGGUACCUGAAGAAUAAGCCACGGCUAACUACGUGCCAGCAGCCGCGGUAAUACGUAGGUGGCGAGCGUUGUCCGGAAUUACUGGGUGUAAAGGGCGUGUAGGCGGGAAUGUAAGUCAGAUGUGAAAUCCCAGGGCUUAACUUUGGAGCUGCAUCUGAAACUAUGUUUCUUGAGUGCCGGAGAGGAAAGCGGAAUUCCUAGUGUAGCGGUGAAAUGCGUAGAUAUUAGGAGGAACACCAGUGGCGAAGGCGGCUUUCUGGACGGUAACUGACGCUGAGGCGCGAAAGCGUGGGGAGCAAAC
rnacentral:rRNA from 1 species